UGGGGAAUAUUGCACAAUGGGCGCAAGCCUGAUGCAGCCAUGCCGCGUGUACGAAGAAGGCCUUCGGGUUGUAAAGUACUUUCAGCGGGGAGGAAGGUGUUGAGGUUAAUAACCUCAGCAAUUGACGUUACCCGCAGAAGAAGCACCGGCUAACUCCGUGCCAGCAGCCGCGGUAAUACGGAGGGUGCAAGCGUUAAUCGGAAUUACUGGGCGUAAAGCGCACGCAGGCGGUCUGUCAAGUCGGAUGUGAAAUCCCCGGGCUCAACCUGGGAACUGCAUUCGAAACUGGCAGGCUAGAGUCUUGUAGAGGGGGGUAGAAUUCCAGGUGUAGCGGUGAAAUGCGUAGAGAUCUGGAGGAAUACCGGUGGCGAAGGCGGCCCCCUGGACAAAGACUGACGCUCAGGUGCGAAAGCGUGGGGAGCAAACA
rnacentral:rRNA from 1 species